UACGAAGGGGGCUAGCGUUGCUCGGAAUCACUGGGCGUAAAGCGCACGUAGGCGGAUUGUUAAGUCAGGGGUGAAAGCCUGGAGCUCAACUCCAGAACUGCCCUUGAUACUGGCAAUCUCGAGUCCGGAAGAGGUAAGUGGAACUCCGAGUGUAGAGGUGAAAUUCGUAGAUAUUCGGAGGAACACCAGUGGCGAAGGCGGCUCACUGGUCCGGUACUGACGCUGAGGUGCGAAAGCGUGGGGAGCAAACAGG
rnacentral:rRNA from 1 species